rnacentral:rRNA from 1 species
UGAGGAAUCUUGCGCAAUGGGGGAAACCCUGACGCAGCAACGCCGCGUGAGUGAGGAAGGUCUUCGGAUCGUAAAGCUCUGUCAGUUGGAAAGAAAUGUCUGAGAGUCAAUCCCUUUCAGGCUUGACGGUACCAACAGAGGAAGCACCGGCUAACUCCGUGCCAGCAGCCGCGGUAAUACGGGGGGUGCAAGCGAUGUUCGGAAUUAUUGGGCGUAAAGAGCGUGUAGGCGGCCGGAUAUGUCAGAUGUGAAAGCCCCGGGCUUAACCCGGGAAGUGCAUUUGAAACUGUCCGGCUCGAGUAGGGGAGAGGGAAGUGGAACUCCUGGUGUAGAGGUGAAAUUCGUAGAUAUCAGGAGGAACACCGGUGGCGAAGGCGACUUCCUGGCCCUAUACUGACGCUGAGACGCGAGAGCGUGGGUAGCAAACAG